CCAAUACAGUGCCUGGAACAGAGUGAUGGGUAAGCAUUGUCCGUGAUGAUUUUGUAGAGAGGAAUAGCGUGUUUUACAUAAACAGUGCCGAGUAUCACAGCCUGGAUCCUCUCCCUGUGUUUUGGCAAAGUGCUUUGUUUUAGCUCAAGCCCGAAGAGUGAUUUUGAGUUGUUCUACUUUCCCACAUCUACUGGCCCCAAAUCUGCUUCCAUUGCAUUCUUUCCCACAGUUUCCUUCAUUGAGAGCUCAUUUCAUAACCCUCUUUGCCCUUGGCUCCCCGCCAUCCUCCUCUGUCGUACUCUGUCCCCACCAGUGUGGUCAUGGGCUAGAAAAUCAAUCAGGCUCUUAAUCAGCAUGUGCAGCGGCAGCAGCACGGCCCAGCUCCUAACUCAGCAGAUCCAGGAGCACAGCCGCAGGGAGCCCCACCGGGAGGAGGGGACCGCACAGGACCUCGGACAGCCAGGGCCGCGGUGGGAUCGCCUCCAUGCUCACACCAAGACGUGACUUUUCUGAGCUGCUCGGUCUUGCUUCCUUUGCAUCCAAGGAUAGACCCUUCUCUUCACACUCAGCUUGGGAAACAUACACUUUUCGCUGUCCCAGGGGCAAGCCAGGGUUUCUCUUGAUCUGAUCUUCAGCGGAAGAAAAUUAGUCCAGGAUGAGUUUAUUUUUCCAAACCUCUCUGGUGCCUAACACAGUACAGCUGUCCCAGCGAGCCCAUACUGUCAAGAGGGAAUUUACAGUGUGCCAGGCUCUGGGCUAAAUACCUUCUAUACACCCAAUUUAAACAUCACAAAACCCCCAUAAGAUUUUGCAGAAGAAAGGAAGAGCCCUUCAUUUUGAAGUGUAAUGAGAGGAUGGAAUCGCAAAAUAGAAAACACAGGCAUGAAUAUGGAUACAGCUCUCCAUACGGCCCUGCUGACUAGAAAAUGACAAGGAAAAGGCUAUCAUGGCUUCUAUUACAAAGGAGGUAGUUUUACAACUUGGAGCAAGAGAUCCCGCUGAAGUCGGCCCCCUGCCCUCCCACAGAGACUGGAGAUAGAGGAGUUCUCUCCUUUGAUGAUUGCAUUUUAAAGAGAUGGUCCCUAGGUCCUAGAGAAAGGCAUUCCUAGGCUGUAACAUUGGCAAGAGGCUUUAAAAAGGAUUUAUGUACACCUCAAAGGGGCAGAGAAAGAAUUUACAAGUUUUCUAAUGAAAAUGCUCUAAGAAAAGGGAGGUCAGGAGAAGUCCGUUUGGAGUGUUUAGAAAAGCUGAUGGGAAAGGGAAGUCUGUCUUGGUCAGGGGGGAAACACAGCCGCUUGGCUCAGUCAAGGGAAUGUUGUCCCCUCCUUGAAUUGAAUUCUCUUUGAAUUCUCUUGCUUCUCUUUGUAAUCUUAGCCCAGCACCGUACUACAUCCCACAGAGCCUAGUGGAGGGGACAGAGAUGAAAGGCAGCUAAUUCCAGAAGACACCUCUUGGUGGGGGGGCAGGGGACCGACAGGAGGGAGAAGGACGGAGCAUGGACUGGGGUGGGAUGGAGAAAAGCAGCUUGCACAGCGCCUCCUUCUCUCUGUUCUGCCGGCUUCACUUCUUUCAGACCGGGACACACAGAGAGGGAGGACAGCUUGGGCUCCCUUUGCUUGACUCCUUCUCAAGGUUUUCGGAAGGGCUGAUGCUAUUUGCUUGCAACAAAGUGGCUGGGGGUGAGAUAACAAGCCAGCUGAAGCCAGGGCCUUUCUGCUGCACUAACAGUUACGACUCCCCAUAGGCCUAUCUCGGAGGGACUUGGCCAAGAUGAAUUGUCCUCUGAGAUGGAUUUACAGGAAGGCUUCAUGCCUCUAACCAGAGGGGCUUCCUGGGGAUAUGGCCGCCCUUGUAUUUGAGCAUUAGAAGUCCUGCCAGAAGGGCUGGCUUUCUGCCCAUUCCCAUUGUCUGCCGUGGCCGUGCUCUCCACAUAGCUGGUGACUGAGCAUGCAACACUGAUCGGACUUGAACUGUGACAAAGGACAACAGGCUUUCGCUAGUGACCUUUUCGAUAACCUGCCUUUUUGGCGGGGUGGGGGGUGGGGGUGGUUCUUGGAAUGGUAAGGAGGCAGCUGUUCCUGGAAAUGCAGCCAAGAGGCCUGGCAUGGGGCCUCGGGUAAUGUGCUGUGGGAGGCUGAGCAGCCCCUCUCCAACCGGCCCUGGUCACCACAUGCCCUACAGCACCUUUGGUCCGCUCAGCUGCCUCCUGCCUGGAACGAGAAGCGAGGAGCGAGGCUGCCAGGGCCACAGGGCUCUGAGGCUGAAGACGGGCUCAUCCAAGUACUGGCAUCUGCUACAGCCUGCCUGCUUUGUCAGUUGCUUCUGG